AACGAACGAUGGCGGCAUGCCUAACUCAUGCAAGUCGCACGAGACCUUCGGGACUAGUGGCGCACGGGUGCGUAAUGCGUGGGAAUCUACCCUUGGGCUCGGAAUAACAGGUAGAAAUGACUGCUAAUACCGGAUGAUGACGUAAGUCCAAAGAUUUAUCGCCCAAGGAUGAGCCCGCGUAAGAUUAGCUUGUUGGUGGGGUAAUGGCCUACCAAGGCGACGAUGUUUAGCUGGUCUGGGAGGAUGAUCAGCCACACUGGGACUGAGACACGGCGCAGACUCCUACGGGAGGCCGCAGUGGGGAAUAUUGGACGAUGGGCGAAAGCCUGAUCCAGCAAUGCCGCGUGAGUGAUGAAGGCCUUAGGGUUGUAAAGCUCUUUUACCAGGGAUGAUAAUGACAGUACCUGGAGAAUAAGCUCCGGCUAACUCCGUGCCAGCCGCCGCAGUAA
rnacentral:rRNA from 1 species